UCGUAACAAGGUCUCCGUUGGUGAACCAGCGGAGGGAUCAUUACCGAGUUUACAACUCCCAAACCCCUGUGAACAUACCACUUGUUGCCUCGGCGGAUCAGCCCGCUCCCGGUAAAACGGGACGGCCCGCCAGAGGACCCCUAAACUCUGUUUCUGUAUGUAACUUCUGAGUAAAACCAUAAAUAAAUCAAAACUUUCAACAACGGAUCUCUUGGUUCUGGCAUCGAUGAAGAACGCAGCAAAAUGCGAUAAGUAAUGUGAAUUGCAGAAUUCAGUGAAUCAUCGAAUCUUUGAACGCACAUUGCGCCCGCCAGUAUUCUGGCGGGCAUGCCUGUUCGAGCGUCAUUUCAACCCUCAAGCACAGCUUGGUGUUGGGACUCGCGUUAAUUCGCGUUCCUCAAAUUGAUUGGCGGUCACGUCGAGCUUCCAUAGCGUAGUAGUAAAACCCUCGUUACUGGUAAUCGUCGCGGCCACGCCGUUAAACCCCAACUUCUGAAUGUUGACCUCGGAUCAGGUAGGAAUACCCGCUGAACCUAAGCAUAUCA
rnacentral:misc_RNA from 1 species